CCUGCCUCAGCAAAAGUGCUGGGAUUACAGGCGUGAGCCACGGCGUUGGCCACUUUCCUUCUUUCAUGUUGUUGUGCAUGCUCUUUCCUCUGCGAGCCUCCUUUUUCUCACGUAUAAAGUGAAAUUCAUCUAUCAAUUAGGGUACUUACUGCUGGUACUAUAGCCAACUCCUCCCAAAUCCUGUUUCCUUAACACAAUAGGGAUUUGUUUCCUAAAGUUGUCAGGGGGAGCAGGGCUGUGUGUGUGGUAAGGGAGGAAGUCUACUGUUAGCAGUGCCUUAGGGUUCCCGGGUACAUUUCAUUUGUGGUGAGGCAAUAUUGCAAGGUCUACUUGUAAUUCUCUGGUGCUGGAUUCUUUGCAUUAGGUUGGCUGGUAGUAAUGAGGAAAAGUGGAGGAUCACAUAGCAUUUGCUGACAAGGCUUGAGAGUGGCAUCUUUCACUACUGUCCGUAUCCCGUUGACCAGAUUAACAUGGCUACAGCCCAGGACAAGGAAGAAAAAUAGUGGACUUAGGGGAAUCUAGCCAGUCUUGGCCACAUUGCCCAAACUUUUUCACGGGAGUGAGGAAAGAACAUGGCUCGGAUGGAUGUGCCAGAGCAAAUGCACCAGGAAAUCCUGAGCAGGGUGCAAUCAGUCACUAUUAAUGCUCACAAGUACCAAAGCUACUUGGAGAAAUACAGCUACUUAUGGAUGGACGAUAAAAUUGAAUUCAUGAAGCAGUUCCUUCUCCAUGAGCGAUUUCUUAGUGCUGAGGAACUAGAAUUGCAGGCGGACUAUGAGUGUCAGAACUCCACACUGCAGUUAGCACACUUUACAGAACAGGUAUUGAAUUUCAGCUGAGUCUAGCAUCAUCUUUUUCAAUUCCCAGGACAGCUGUUAAAUAUAAAAUAUUUUGAGACAUAAAGCCCUAGCCUCUGAGAGAUCUUUCCUUUUCUCCCCCCGUUUUCUUUAAGAUCAACAUCUAUGAAAUGUUAUGCGAAGGAGUUGAUAACUUUAAAAAUCAGAAGAUAUUUAGUGGCUAGCUUCAAGCUGAUAUUAAACCUUUUAAAACUCAAUGAUGAAUGUUACAAAAAAUGGGAUUUGAUGUUUAAGGAGCAGCUGCUUAAACAUGUAACCUGUAGUGAAAAGAAUUUGGUGGGCAAACGUGGCAGGCACCCAUUUCUGGUAACAGCUGGAUUCCUUUUCAUCACAUAGUGCAGCACCGCCCGAUCAUGUGCUUACAUUCUUUUGAGAGGGUCCCAUUUAAACAAGUAAUGAAACCGAGAUCUCUCAAGUCUCAUCCAUGCAGAAGAGCUCUCUUCCAGGGCUUCUGGUGAAAGCAGGUGCAAUCAGAGGAACCAUAAAUCACAGUGAUUCUGCAGUUUGCUGGCCUCAGAUUCACAGGAGCAGAAGCUGUGCAAUUAUGGAAACUAAAAUUGCUAGUUUUUAAGUAUUGCUUCACAUGAGAUUAAGAAUGCAAAUAAGUUCUGAUUACCAAGAAAUGGAACCAUAAAGAAGACUUAUAGUGGGGAGAAAAGGGCUAUCUACAGGGGAUGUACUGGACCCCAUCGGGACAUUUCAAAGGUAGUUAGAAAACUGCUUCUCUGGCGCCUUGCAGGAGAACUUAAGUGUCCAGAACAGAAGCCUUCCAAGGGAGGGUGGGGCCACUUCCACAACCUGCUCCUUCUUCUUAGCUUCAAAAGCAACCUAAAAUGCAAAUACAUAUAUAAAGUUAAGGUUGUGAAGGAACUUUCUUUUUUGGCAGAUGCGUGUCCUUUUUUCUCGUCCCAAAUUAAAAUGAGCUGGAAGAGUACUUACUGCUUGUUCAGAUGUGUAAGAAGACAGCUCGCUCCACUAAAGAUUAAUGUGUGUUAAAUGCUUGCUCCAGAAUGUCAGUAACACUGAAAUUUGAGGCUUUUGUCUGUCACUUCUAGCCUGUAGCAUGAUUAGAAAAAGCAAUGUAGGUACAAUAAUAGCAAUGAACAUUGAAGGAGUGCCUGCGAUCUCAUCUUCAUGGAAGCCCUAUUGUUAUCAUCAGUCCCAUUUUAUAGAUGAGGAAACUGAGUUUUGGAGCUGUUCAAUGUCUUAGCCACAGGCUCUCACAGUCAGGAAGCAGCAGAACAGGGAGCUGAGGAAUCCAGCUACUGCAGAGACCACAGAAGGGGAAAUCUUUGUACCAUUGUAUUAAUAGUGCUGUUGACAUGAUUUUAUCUGGAACUUCAGAAUUUUUAUCAAGUGAUUCUUAAAUAACAUUUAAUUAGAGACCAGUUAUAAAAUGUGACUCCCCAGAGUAAAAUCUGAGGUUUAGGCUUCACUUUCAUCACCGAGACUAAGGGAGGGUGAAGCUACAAUACUUAUGUCAGGAAUCUGGAGUUUUUCUCGAGCUUAGCUUCUGAGAAAUUUGCAGACUUGUAAGAGAUAAAAACAAGGGAUCUUUCAAAGUAGGAUUGCUCACUUUUUCAUUUCCAUCUUUCAAAUAGUCUCAUACUUCCCAAGACAAAUGGACUUUACUAUGAAAAUAUGUUCUGUUAAGAUGCAAUUGGAAGUCAGAUUUCACGUCUCCUCAUUUAUGAAUGCAUUGUCAACGAAUUGCUUGUAUUUAUUCAGCUUGUGCAAAUAAAAGUCAAAUAAGGCUCAGAAAUAGGUUUCUUGGCAAUCUGACUUUCUGAGACAGAGAGUUUAGUAAGAAAUUAUGGAUACAUUCUCCUUAGUUAAAAUGGAGUCAAACAAAGGGAUCUGGGGAAACUUUGGGGGUGAUGAAUAUGUUCAUUAUCUUGGUUGGAAUGCUGGUUUCGUAUCUUACAUUUUAUUAAAUUGUACAUUUAAAAUAAGUGCAGUUUAUUCUAUGUCUCUUAUACCUCAACAAAGAAUGAAACUAAUAAAGGCAAAAAUAGAAUAAA